rnacentral:lncRNA from 1 species
AUGUACCGCCGUUCUGGGGUAGCACCACUCUGCCCAGCCAACAAAGGGCCUCUGGCUGGCAGGCGCCUGCAGCAUCUUUUGUCCUUGGAGCAGCUAUAUACCUUCUUCCCACAGCACCCGAGGGAAGGGAUUGCUCUCUUACACUGUGUCUCUGAGCUCACCAAGGGCUGGCUCCCCCUUAAUCCCAGGUGGGUGUACAGGGCAGCAGGCCCAGUCCCAAGAAAGUCCUGCAACACUGGGUCAUCACUCCUAAGGCUGUUUCCAAGUCAGAGACUGACUGUCUCCACUUUUUUCCAUUCCCUGGUCAGUGGUCUGGAGAGUUUUUCUCUUGUUCAGAUGCUUCCACACUUCCACAGCCUGUCUCUCUCUUCCUUUUGUCUCUCUGUGGAAGGAGUUUUCCCUUUGGUCUGUGCAUUCACCACCCAUUUUAUCUCUCCCAAUUGGCAGGCACGCACCUCUGGCCCGCCAAGCUGUCCCCUUGGGCUCCUGGAGAUGUUUCUGUCACUCUGUAGCCCGGAUUCCUGGAAUUCCAAGUCUUUGGCCUCAAUACUGCUGUUUGAGAAAUCCCUACUCUGCAGAAGCAAAUGGUGGUGCGUUCACACUGGAAAACUCAGCAGCAUUUACAAGUAGCGUAUUAUCACUUCCUUUGGUGCUCAUUAUACUAACAUUAAUCAUUAUAAAUUCUUUUGGUGUGACAGUAUUUCCUCUUCUUUGAUCCCAUAAGAAAACCUCAAGCAAUGGGUCAUUUGCCAGACAAACCAGUGAAGAGGGUCGAUUUAUUUAUUUUUCCCUCUUUCUGGUCAUGAAUGAUUUGAAAUGAAGAUUUCCUGAGACUAAGAAGUAGGUACGAUGACAGUCUGAACCGUGUCGAACCUUAAUUCCUGUCCUAAUAUUAGCCAAAUUGAACCAUCAUUAGCAUUUGGAUUUAAGUUCUACCAGAUGACAGUAGCGUAUACACAACUAAUUAAGAAUUUCUUUCAGUAGCUGGUAUAUAUAAAAAUUUUUCUUGUGUUUAAUGAUGUUUACAACCUUGUUUAGGUGAGCAUAACAUUAUGUUCUGUAUUACAUUUCCUAUUAAGUUCAACAGCUUUCUCCUCCUUCCACUCCAUAUCUUGUUCUCAUAAUAAUAGGACACAUAGUUCAAGGCAUUAAAACUAGUUCAUGGUGUUAGACAGUUUUAAGGAAUCCUAGUUUGAUAGCUAAAGAAACAACGCUGGAGUACCUAAAAUG